AUCAGUUUUUUUUCUACCUGCUAUUUAGGGUUAGUUAAUGCAGGGGUCCCCAACCCUCAGUCCAUGGACCGGCAAAGGGCUGUGGCAUGUCAGCAACUGGGCUGCACAAACAAGUGAAGCCCCAUCCAUGGGAUGCAGGUAGCAUGCAAAACCAUGCCCCCUCUGGUCUGCGGAAAAACCUUUAAAUAGAAAUUUAAAUUGUGUCUGCAUGUCUGAGUUACUGUGUUAAAAAGGACGGAGCUUCUCAAGAGACCCAUUAACUAGCCAAGGUUCCUAGUUUCCCAGUUUUCAAGUAACAAAUGGCACAAAUCUCUAACCAUUGCAGAACUUGUACAGGAAUUAUUCCACCCAUGUAAGCUUGUUCUAAUCUUUCAAUAAAUUUAAUCAACUUGUUUCAUCCACACUUGAUUAUUGUCUGAAAGUUGAGAGAUAAGUGCACAGUUGCCAUUUAUUUCUGGAAUAGAUAUUUGAUUUUGAACCCAAAUAUUGGUUGCUUUGAAUGAAGCAGAAUUUUCUGUAUACAGAAAGAAACUAAUGAAUCAAAACUUUAUCCAGCUCUGAGCACCAGAUAGCACCACUGACAGUUUCAUGUCCUUUCUGUUUUGAAUUUUAUUUUAUGAUAUUUAAUAUUUUUGCUUAUUUUUUAGGGAAACAAAGAUUCCUGCCUGGAGAUAAAGGGCACACUGCAGAAGGAAGUAUAUAUAUAAAUAAAUAUAUACACAACUUAUAUACAGCAUAUUGUUGUUUUAGUAAAAGUGAAGAGCUUUAUUUAUAUUUGGUUUUUUGGCGAAGGUAGGAUAGACUGAGACCUACUGAGAAGCAGUAUUUCUGAAAAGCUGGGGGAAAGCAAAGUAAGAAUUAAAUAAAAUGUUGACUGCUUCACUCAGUAGGAGUGAUGCUAAAUCUCAAGCAAUAAAUUUUCAGUAGCGCUAUCUACAUAUAUAUUUUAUAAUGGCAAGUGAAUGGGAUAUGAAUAGAACAAUGUUUUUGUUUUUAGGCAGCCUUCUUGUUUUAAGAUACUUCUUUCCAUCUGGAAUGUGAAAGGCCCUGUUUAUUUAACACCUAACAUCUGAAAAAGGCUAAAGGGAUUUAUGUGCACAGUGGCUCUGACAUAUCGAUUUUCCCCAGUAAGAGGAAAGAAGAGGAUAAACCUACUGUUGGAAUAACCUUUUCGUUUUCAGGCAGGUUCUUCCUUAUCGUAAGUUCUUACCAUAGUCACAUUUUAUCUCUCCCCCAUGCUAAAAAAAUCAAUUUCCUUUGUUGCCUGGAAAGAACUCCUAACAUUCUGUUUUAGAAAAUAUUUGUGGACUGGAGAUUUAUCUCUAUAAUAUUAUCAUACUUUCGCAAAUCCCUGAUAUGUCUGGUGGCAUAUUAAAGCUAGGGCGACAUGUUAGCAUUAAAGCAAUCCACAUUUGGGUAUCUGAAUUUUUAGAAAUAAAGUUGAUGAAAAAAAUGUUUUAUUAAAAAUGUUUUUAUUAUUUAUUAUUAUUGGAGCAACAGUUUUUGACAGCUCUUUGAGAAUUCUCUUCAAAUGUUAUUCAGUUUUCAUUCGUAUUUCAGACAGUGAGACAGCUCAAAGAAAGCUGUAGAGAAGCUCUAAUUCUAAUAGGCACUCAGGGAACAGCACUCCAAACAAUAUCCGAUAAUAAACAGAGUUUCUUAUCGGAUAUAGUUUGGAUAUUAUAUUGGAUAUAGUUUGGAGUGGUCCUUGCCCAUGGAAAUAUAUCUAAUGCAAUUUUAGAAAUCUCCCUCUCUGUCCAGUUAUAUGGACUUGAAUUCCUGUAAUUCUUAGCAUUGGUUAUACUUGCUGGGAAUCUUGGCAAGCAAGCUGGGGAGGCUGCCUUAUACAGACAGCAUUGUCUCAUUAACUUGCAGAAAUAGAUUUGACUGGCAAAAAUGACAAUUUAGGUAUACUUUUUGUCGAUCAUUUUAGUCAGCCACUUGACUAGGAUUGCCACUCCAUUGUUGUACACAACCCUACUUGGAAAUGCAGCUUACAAUAAAUAUAUAGAGUUGUGCAAUGCUUAGGAUCUGAAAGAUGUUUGCAUGUCACACUUGUCUGCAACCUGUUAAAUUGCUCCAUUUCCCAGGCACAGCUUUGGGUAAUAACAGUUUUGCUUCUGCAUAAUCCUGGGAAAAGACAAUUUGAUUUUAGAAGUUGAAGAUGCAUGUUACUUUCAUGCCCCCAUAUACUUCAAAGCAUAUUUUUGCCUUGUAUCUGAAACUCUUAUUUAAACCAGGAGUAUAAGUUGCAUAAUUCUCAUUCUAAGUAACUAACAGUAAGAGUUGCCAUAAUAACUGAAACAACCCAACCCAAGAGAUUUCCCAAAAUGAACAGAUGAGAAGGAAGGUCAGAUAGGACCAGUAGUGGGUUGCCCCUGGUUCGGACCGGUUCACAAGAACUGGUAGUAAAACCAGUGGGAGACUCCGCCCACCAACCCGGUCAUCAGGAAGUUUCUGCGCACGCCUGCUCCCAUUGCGAACCAGUAGUAAAGGUAAGUAGAACCAACUCCUGGAUAGGACUAACCUCAUAAUUUUUUAUGUUUCUGUUGGAUGCAAUAAAAAUAUCCAAUGCAUGUUAAAGUGCAAUUACUACCUCAGAACAUUUUUUUGUGUGGUUAAUUCAUAAAAACAAAGCAAACCUUUUCCCUCUGUUUAGCUCAUAUUCUCAGGAACGAUGGGAGCUGUUCUUUAAAGAAAUGUCUCCGUGUCAUCUUUGAAGGUGCUCCUCCAGAACGACCUCCAAAUGAAGUUUUACAUUCUUGGACUCCCUCCCUGAAAUUUCUUCAAGCCACUCCCAGUGUUGAAGUCCCUGAAGGAGAAAACAUGGAUACUUCUUCUAUGAGAAUACAGGAAACAUAGGAAUUUGGAGGCCACUAAAACUGGUAAAGGCGGCUAAGCACGAAGCUGUAAACACCUAGCCUGAAGAUGACGAAUGGGAUUUCGUCGAAACGUCGCCAAGACACUUCCAAUUUUACGUGGGAGAAAACCCGAAUAACCAAAGACCUACAUAUAUAUAUAUAUAUACUAUAUAUAUACACACUAUAUAUAUAUAUUUAACACCACAGACAAUACUUCUAUCAUUCAAAAUGACCUUGAUCAUCUAACCGCUUGGUCAAAAAAUUGGCAGUUCCAAAUUUCAACCAGCAAAUGCUCAGUCUUACAUAUAGGAAAAAAGAACCCAAACACUAAGUACAUACUAGAUGGACAUUACCUUACAGACGACCCCCAUCCCGUUAAAGACCUUGGAGUUUUCAUGUCAAAUGAUCUAAGUGCCAAAGCCCACCGCAACUACAUAGCAAAAAAAGCUCUAAGAGUUGUAAACCUAAUCUUGUGUAGCUUCUUUUCCAAAAACACCACACUACUAACCAGAGCAUAUAAAACAUUUGCUAGACCAAUUCUAGAAUACAGCUCGCCUGUUUGGAACCCUCACCACAUCUCUGACAUCAAUACAAUUGAACGUGUCCAGAAAUAUUUUACAAGAAGAGUUCUCCAUUCCUCUGAAAACAAUAAAAUACCUUAUCCCACCAGACUUGAAAUCCUAGGCUUAGAAAACUUGGAACUCCGUCACCUUCGACAAGACCUAAGUUUAACUCACAGAAUCAUCUAUUGUAAUGUCCUUCCUGUUAAAGACUACUUCAGCUUUAAUUGCAAUAAUACUAGAGCAACUAAUAGAUUUAAACUUAAUGUCAACCGCUUUAAUCUAGAUUGCAGAAAAUAUGACUUCUGUAACAGAAUCAUCAGUGCUUGGAAUACUUUACCUGACUCUGUAGUCUCUUCUCAUAAUGCUAAAAACUUUAACCAAAAACUUUCUACUAUUGACCUCACCCCAUUCCUAAGAGGCAUAAGGGGCGUGCAUAAGCGCACAAAGGUGCCUACCGUUCCUGUC